CCUACGGGGGGCUGCAGUAAGGAAUAUUGCACAAUGGGGGAAACCCUGAUGCAGCAACGCCGCGUGGGUGAAGAAGGCCUUCGGGUCGUAAAACCCUUUUCUAGGGGAUGAGGAAGGACGGUACCCUAGGAACAAGUCUCGGCUAACUACGUGCCAGCAGCCGCGGUAAGACGUAGGAGGCGAGCGUUAUCCGGAUUUAUUGGGCGUAAAGGGCAAGUAGGCGGUUGUCAAAGUUGGGCGUAACAUCUCCUGGCUUAACUGGGAGCAGUCGUACAAAACUAGGCAACUAGAGGGCAGAAGAGGAAAGCAGAACUCCUGAUGUAGCGGUGGAAUGCUCAGAUAUCAGGAAGAAUACCAGUGGCGAAGGCGGCUUUCUGGUCUGUACCUGACGCUGAGAGGCGAAGGCCAGGGUAGCGAACGGGCUUAGAUACCCCAGUAGUC
rnacentral:rRNA from 1 species